AUGGCGCAAUGGUGGGACGAGUGGCAGCUUCGCAUCCUCGUCCUAGCCAGCCUCAUCGUCCAAUUCUGCCUCGUAUUUUCUGGUCGAAAUCGGUUAGAGCAUCUCCGGGCAUGGUACAGAGUCUGGCUCCGGCUAGCGCACAUCGGCUGCGAUCCUCUGGCCCUCUUCACCCUCGCCACGCUCUUCAACCGCCAAAAGGAUGGGCCGCGCUGUAGCUACGCGCGUGGCAGCCGCGACUUGGAGCUGCUAUGGGCGCCCAUCCUUCUGAUGCACCUCGGCGGACAAGUCGUCAUAACCACCUACAAGAUAGAAGACAACGAGAAGUGGAGCCGGCACAUCCUAACUUCUCUAUCCAAGGUCACGGCUGCACUCUACGUGUUUUACAAGUCAUGGUCGGCGGAUGACAAAAGGUUGUUGGCUGCAACAAUUUUGCUUUUCAUCCUGGUGAUUCUCAAAUGCUUCCAAAAGGCCCUCAAUCUUAGGGGCAGUAGCUUUAGUGCCCUACGAAAGGCCAGCUCGUCUGAGGUCGUCCAAGCGACCGGCCUGAGAAAAGAACGGCUUAAAGAAUACGUAGAAAAGGCAAAAGAAGUCCUGCUGGAUUGUGGUGGACGCGAUGAAAAAACAUACUCCUCCAACCUCCCAAGCCUACCGGACCAGAUAUUUUUGGACUUUCCACGUCCAUAUUCUGAACGUGCUGAAACACUGAAGAAAUUCUGGGUUCUUAACCCCAUAUCAGCUUGUCAAGCAAUAGAAGGAACGCUGUCUGCUAUGACCAGUUUUCUUUACACCAAAAAUGUUGACACCAAACAAAAUGUUGACACCAAACACCAUUUUCCUCUCAUGGACAAGCCAACACUUUCCGGUCGGGUUCUUUUUCUUUUGAAGUACAAACUUUGUUAUUUUUACUUAUACAUUAGCCGGAAAUUGGAGCGCCUACUUCGCCGUGGAUUUAUACAAGGAUUGCCAGUUUAUGCAACAUUAAUCACAGUCAUCUGCCUCGUACACACUCGUAGCCAGAAACAAGCUUAUAGCGGUGCAGAUAGCAAGAUAACACUUGUGCUGUUGUACUUCACUCUUCUGAUGGAGCUGGUUCUGGUCAUAUCAAGUGACGGGGACAGCUUCCACACCAGAAUUCUCCAACAUAAUCUUAUUGGAUUAUUAGCCCACAACAAAUGGCACUACACGUCGAGGAGGAUCGCGGGAUGGUUACACUGCAAGGACUUCCUCAACUUGUUUUGGCACAUGGGGCCUGUGUAUUCAUGUGUGGAGAUUACAGAAUUGGCCCGUCAGCACAUUGAAUCAGGGUGGAAUGGCUACAUACAGGACACUGAGACUUACAGGUGGUUUACUGAUACCAGGGGUGAAAGGACGCUCGCGAGUAAGGGAUGUCCCGGGGAACUGGGUCGGAGCAUAAAGAGGCCAUUUGACGAGACCAUUGUUCUGUGGCAUCUCGCCACAGAUUUAUGCUUUCACCAUAAGGCCACUUCUCCUGGACCUGGUGAUGAUCGUGAAUGCCCCCGCCAGUGCAAAGAAAUGUCCAACUACAUGAUGCAUCUGUUGUUCGCUAAUCCUAAGAUGCUAAUGCCAGGCAGCAGAAAGGGCUUGUUCGCGACGGCUUACAGCGAGCUCGAGGAAAUCCUCAAGACUGAAGAGACACCACGGGGCGAGAGGGAGUUUACACAGAAGGUAAUUGAGAUAUGCGACGCCCAUCGUUUUCCCGACACUUUUAUUGGCGAUGCUUGGGUGCUUGCUAAAAGCUUGUUAGGCUAUGAGCUUGAUGAUCCCACCAGAAAGUGGGAGGUGAUCAAAGGUGUGUGGAUGGAGAUGCUCUGCUUUUCUGCUAGCCGAUGCCAAGGAUACUGGCACGCGGAGACUUUGGGAACGGGUGUGGAGUUCCUCUCCUAUGUCUGGGUCCUGUUGCAAUACUCUGGGAUGGAGACAUUUUCGGAAAAGCUUCAGAAGAGAGAAGGCAUGCCAUUUGAUAGCGAUGAGUCUUUGGUUUAG
rnacentral:rRNA from 1 species